rnacentral:rRNA from 1 species
UACGUUCCCGGGCCUUGUACACACCGCCCGUCAAGCCAUGGAAGCUGGGGGUGCCUGAAGUCGGUGACCGCAAGGAGCUGCCUAAGGGUAAAACUAGUAACUAGGGCU